rnacentral:rRNA from 1 species
GACGAACCGUGCGAACGUUGUUCGGAAUCACUGGGCUUAAAGGGCGCGUAGGCGGGUCAGCAAGUCCGGGGUGAAAUCUUUCGGCUUAACCGGAAAAGGGCCUUGGAGACUGCUGGUCUUGAGGGAGGUAGGGGCAUGUGGAACUUCCGGUGGAGCGGUGAAAUGCGUAGAGAUCGGAAAGAACACCAACGGCGAAAGCACUCUGCUGGGCCGACACUGACACUGAGAGACGAAAGCUAGGGGAGCGAAUGGG